GAUGAAACUAACGGCUUUUGCAAGAAAGUUCGACUGACUAAUCUUCUGUAAUGCUAUUAUGAGGAUUACCCUUUGAGGUUCAUAGCGAUAGGUCGCCCUAUGGUUGGUCGCAAGAUUUCA
rnacentral:sRNA from 1 species